rnacentral:lncRNA from 1 species
UUUUAUAUCUUUAUGUUUGAAGCCUGAAAUGUGCCAAAAGGUCGCAAAGUUCAAGGGGCCGAAUACUUUCGCAAGGCACUGUAUAUCUUACCACAUUAUGGAACACACAGACAUUCAUCUAUCCUACCACAUUAUGGAACACACAGACACACAGCAGGUCAUAUAUCCUACACAUUAUGGAACAGACACACAGCAGGGUCAUAUAUCCUACCACAUUAUGGAACAGACACACAGACAGUUCAUAUAUCCUACCACAUUAUGGAACAGCCACACAGACAGGUCAUAUAUCCUACCACAUUAUGGAACACACAGCAGGGUCAUAUAUCCUACCACAUUAUGGAACACACAGCAGGGUCAUAUAUCCUACCACAUUAUGGAACACACAGACAGGUCAAUAUCCUACCACAUAUGGAACAACAGACACACGCAGGUCUAUACCUACACAUUAUGGAACAGACAAC